AAGAGGACCAUCAGGGACUUUGUCACCUUGACAACUUUAGCCUUGCCUUCUAGUCACCUUGCCGGAACACUUGUGCCCGUGUUUUUCUAGCACUGUCAUAAGAAUACUUUUACCUAUCAAGGCAACUGGGGGUUAGGAGAGCUUUUUGCACAGGAGGCUACUUGGCUUUGUUUGAAAACUGAUGAUACAUGAGGAUUGGGGUGGUGAAUCACUCACAUGUUUCUUCAUAUGAAAAAUGAGGACUGUGGGAUUCUCUGGCUGGAUCUCAGCACCUAGAAAUGGAUCUGGGCAAUAGGAACUGCUCAGUAUUAGCUACCGCUUUGGUUGCCUUCUCCUUGCGGAAAGCUGGCCUCUCACACUGAAUUUGUAUCAUAGGCACUCAUGAGGGUCUUGACUGUAUCAAUAUCUGAUGAGAGAUUUUAGUGCAGUUCUGUUAUCGUGGCUGAUUUGCUCAUUUGGUAGCUAGCAUCCAGCUUCUUGUGAACAUUAAAAUAAAAUAAAAUAGAUUAUGGAGGAAUAGAAUACAGAUACGUAGUAAGGUAUUAUUUUCCAGACAAAAUGGAUUUGGAUAAAAGAAUCUAAUUAAGAACUUGUGCAUGAUUCUUUUAAAAUUCUUUUGAAUCCAUUUUUUUUUUUUUGGCCUGUUUUCAAGUCUCCGAUUUUUGUCACCCUUCUCACACCAGGUCAGAGAGAUAGCUAAUGGUCAGAAGGAAUCUUCCAGCAAUGACCAUAGCGCUUUCUCCUGCCUGCAGAUGCCUCUUUUUAUUCAGCCUUUAUGGGAAGUAGCAGCACCAUCCAGUUCUCAGAGAGCAAGCUCUGGAGUAACUGAGCUAACCCCAGUUACCCCAGUGGAUUUACAGAUUGAGGUUACAACCCAGCAGGGUUCUCUUCCUGGAAAGAAUAGCCUUCCCUCUAAGGUUUCAAAUAGACCCUGGGUGAGGAAGGAGCCCUAAACAGCUUGAAAAAUUGAAUGCUCUUUGGGCAAAGCAGGAAGCCGUCCUAUGGAAGAGCAUCAUUUGAGCAUAAAUCAGGUUAUCAGGACAAACAGAGUGUUCAGGAGGUCAAGAUGGUUAAGCAGAGACCCUGACCAGAAUGUCCGUGGCGGAGAGAAACAAUCUUGUUGGGAAAAGGAUGACAAUAAUUGGGGACUUAGAAUAAAGGCUAAAAAUGAUUCAAAGAGAAUGCAAAAAGAAUCAGGCACAAAUCGUUUACUAUACUCUGUUAUGCAAAUCUCACCUUACUAUGUGUUUGUAUUCUAUUCCUCCACAAUCUUUAUUUUAUUUUAAUGUUCAAAGAGACUUGUAGGUGCCAAUUAAAUGAACAAAACAGCCAGAGACAACAGAACUGCCCUAAAAAAAGUCCCGCAUCAGCUCUUGAGAGCAGGUUCCUUAAAGGUGAACAAUAUUCCACAUACAAGGACUUUUUCAGCACCAUGCAUUAGAAAUGGAAGUGAAUGUUUAUUAUUUUUUGUAUAAGUUGGUUGAUAUGGCUUUUCAGCUUCCCUCAGUAUCAUUAUCCAAAUUUUGUAGAUGACACUAAAGCUCAGAGGAGUUAAACCAUUUUCCUUAAAUCACAUAGCUUUAAAUAGGAAAACCAGAUAUGAAAAGCAGAUUUUUUUUCUAAAUUAAAAAACCAAAAACAAAAACACGUGAGCUCUUGCUUUACCCUAGCACAUAGUCUUGCCAUCUGUUUUCUCCACACCAGGUGAUUCCUGUAACAUUCAUUCACAUAACAAAUACAAAUAAAUGAGUGGAUUCAUUCAUCAGAUAUUAAUUCAGAAUCCCUUUUGUGCCUUCCAGAAAUCUGGACCAUCUCACAACCCCCAGAGAGUCUCAGCUACAAGGAACAAGUGAUAAUGCCAUCCCACUUUUAUAAACACACACACACACACAUGCAAUACACACACAAUCAUUUAAUCAUUUUUAAUUAUUUAAUUAUUUUUUAAAAAUCAGUGACACUUUAGCUGGGCAGGUCUAGAUAGGUCUUCUUUGCUGGGACGUGUCUUUUUCUGUCCUGGAAUACCCUAAACUUCACAUUUUGGCAGCGUGAGUUUUCCCUUUGUGACUUUCUCCUUCUUCCCUUUUUUCCUCCUUCUUUGCAGAGAAUGAGUAGCCACUGCACCUUGCCCUGCGCCAUCAAUGAGAAGAUCUGCUCUUAGUAGAGCCCUGCUUUCCCGCUGAAGGCCCUGAAAUCACCUGUGUUCCAGGCCACCCACUAAGGAUAAACAAAGCUUCCCUGAUAUGGGGAAUUAGCUCAAGUGGUAGAGCGCUUGCUUAGCAUGCAAGAGGUAGUGGGAUCAAUGCCCACAUUCUCCAAGCUUUAUUAUUUAGGUACCCAAACCCGAGUCAGUGUCUGAGAGCAAGACACUGCUCUCGGUGUCUUUGGUUCAAGACAUAGGAGCAGCAACAAUACAGGACUGGUGACAGCUUCCUGCUGGCAUUCAGUAUAGUGUAGAUCUACUGUGUAAUUAAUUUUCUGUUUCUUCGAGGAGCUGUGAAACCAAAGGACAUAUAAAACUGCUCUUUUCUCCCUGUUUCUGCCUGCAGCUUGGUCCUAAAUGUGAGACAAUUGUGAAAAGUGGAGGACAGAGCCACCUGGUUAAAUACAGCCCCAGCUUUCUGGUGAGAGGACUGAAACCAAGAUGUGUCAAGUAACUAGAAUGUGCCUGGACAGAUACUGUAGAAAGCAAAACCAUAAAGUUGUUCAUGAGCUUGUGGACGCACCUGCCAGCUGUGAAUAAGUGGCUCUAAUCCCGAACAACUUACCUAAAAAGAGCCUGAGAGCUGAACUGUGCAAUGGCCCACUUUCCAGUCCUCACUGACCACUGGGUUGCACACACUUUGGAGAUCUCUGAACAGCAGUGUCAAGGCUUUCAAAUAGAGUUAUCUUUGAAACGACAACACAUGAAAGUCUGGUUGGUACUUGGAGCUUAAAUACAAGGCAAUUGUGUGCCUGCAAAAACAAAAAUAGCAAUAUUAUCCUUAAGAUUUCAACAAGACACAGUGUCUCAUCACAUAAUCCAAAGAAGUCCAGGUUACAAGCCCCACAAUAUUCAGCAUUAUGAAAAAACAGGGAGAUCUUAAUUCACAUGGCAAAGAGAAUCCUCGAAUAACAAUAUUGAGAGGACACAGAUGUCAAAAUCAUCUGACACAUACAUUAAAGCAGAUAUUAUAACAAUGCUCCUAGAAUCGGGGAUAACAUUCGUGAAGUGAAUGGAAAGUUGGAAAGUCUCACCAAAUAUUUCGAAUACAUAAACACCAAUUUAAACUUAAGAAUUAAAAAAAUGUAUUAACCAAAACUCUUAGGGGAAAUAAAAAGCUUAAUUGGAGGAUCUCCAUAAUCGAAUGCAGAAGACUAAGGAAAAAGUCAAUGAACUUGAAAACAGAACACGAAUACCUACAUAAUCUGAACUAUAGAGAGAAAGGAGGAUUUUAUUGUCUCUGAACAGAGGCUCAGGCACAAAUAAAAAAUAACAAAUCCAACAUUCACAUUAUUGUAAUCUGGAAAGAAGAGGACAAAGUGGUCUUUGUGGGAUAAAACUUUGAACAAUUAAUAGCUGAAAAUGGUUCAAAUUUGUCAAAAGAUAUAAACCAGAUUUUUAAAGUUCAGUAAAUGUCAAUCAGGAUAAACCCAAAGAAACCCAUAGCAAGGCAUAUCAUAAUCAAACUGCUGAAAACUAAGAAAAUACAAAACAAUUUUGAAAGCAGCCAAAGGGAAAUGAAAGAGAAACUACCAAAUGAAUGAUUGUAGAUUUCGCAUCAGGAACCAUAGGGGCCAGAAAAAAUGUCAUAACAUUCGGUAAGUAACAAAAGAAAAAGACAUAUCGACCCAGAAUGCUAUGUGGAGCAAAAGUAUCUUCCAGACAUAAAGGCAAAUAAAUGCAUUCUCAGUGGAAGGUAAGUAAAUACAUUCUCAUUCUUAGGAAGACUGCUGGAAAAGAAUUAGCAAAGAUUUGAGAUAAGAAAAAUGAUACCAGAAGGAAACUUAGAACAUCAUCAGUGAAGGAACAAAAGCAGAAAUAGAACAUGUCUGGGUAGACAUAACAGACUAUUAUUCUUCCCUUGAGUUCCUUAAGGAGACUACGGAAAAGAAGAGUGACUAAGAUCUCUGAAGAAGGGAAAAGCUAGAUGACUGGGCCACAAGAGGAAAAAAAGCAGCAAGACAGGUACAAUUGUUUCUGGUCCCUCAAGCCAGAAGGUCCUAUCAUUAUGUGAAUACUGGAAACGGGUGGACUCCACCUGUCCUGAGUGGGGAAUUCUUCCAGUGCAGCACUGGCUGAUAAGCAGUGAUUUCCAAGUAGCAUUGAUUGUGUUCUUUAAAAGCUAGGAAUUGAUAAAGCAGCAGUGUGUGGGAAAUGAGAUUUAAUAAUCUGGAUCUCAGCUCUUAGGAACAGUUGCUCUCUUAGAGCAGCAGGCCACCUGUCAAUCUCGUAUUCUGAAGGUCCUGAGUUUGAACAUCAGACAAGGUACAGCUUUUGCCGCUCUUUCCGUUAAGGGAAAUGAAAUAGGUGUGAUAAAUAAUGUAACACAAAUGCUAUGAGAUAAUGAUUUCAAGACAGUCCAAAUAUUAGCUUAAAAUUUAAAAAUGAGCUUUUCUUUUUUCUUUCUUUCUUUCUUUCUUUCUUUCUUUCUUUCUUUCUUUCUUUCUUCCUUUCUUCUUUCUUUCUUUCUUUCUUUCUUUCUUUCUUUCUUUCUUUCUUUUUCUCUUUUUCCUUCUUUUGGCUUCUUAGUGGUUUGAAUACAAGGCGUGGUGAAGAGAUAUAAAUUACACAAGAAACUACAAGCUAUGUCAUAUGUCUACCUCUCUAGCUGACAAGGGAAGCAGGGGAAAUUUCUCUUCCAAUUGUCUGCUCUGAAGGUCAUCCAAACAUAAUUAUCAGGUGGGGUGGGUGAACUCUUUUAUUCUUUUAAUCAUCCAACAAAUAUUUCUCAAGCGCAUACCUUGUUAAGAGACUGUUUUGGGUACAGUAAUUCACAGUGAAUAAAACACAGAUAUUCUCACCUUUGUGAUACUACGUCAUAGUUGCAAGGAGUGGGGAGAAACAGACAGGAAGCAAAGAAGAAAAAUAAACAAGAAGUCAUGUGAUAAUAUCUACUGGGAGGGACUCAUUAGGCAGUAAAGGACUCGGCAGUGUGGAGGUGACACAUUCAGUUUUCAGUAGAAGAAUCAGGGAAGUUGUCACUUUGAAGCUAUCAUUUAGCUUCCCUUUCUUUCAAUCUUCUUUCUUUACAUGGGAAAUAAGGAUUGUGGGAUAUUUUUGGGUGGAUCACAGCACCUAGAGAUGGACCUGAUCAAUAAGAACUGCUCAGUAAGCAUUAGCUACUGCUUCGGUUGCCUUCCCCCUGUGGAGUGCUGGCCUCUUGGAUUGAGCUUGCAUCAUAGGUGUUCAGUAGGAGCUUGCUUAGUGGAUUUAUAGGUUGAGGUUAGAACCCACUGGAAUUCUCUUCCUGGAAAGAACAGGCUUCUCUUUAAGGUUUCAUACAGACCCUGGUUGAGGAAAGAGCCCUAAAUUGCUUGAAAAAUUGAAUGCUCUAUGGGCAAAGCAGGAAGCCCUCCUAUGGAAGGGCAUCAUUUGGGCAUAUAUCAGGGUCUCAGUAAAAACAUGAGUGCUCAGGAAGUCAAGAUGGUUAAGCAGAGAAUCUGACCAGAAUGUUCAUGGUGCGAAGAAAUAAUCUUGUUGGGUGUAGGAUUACAACAACUGGGAAAUUAGAAUACAGGCUAAAUGAGAUUCAAAAAUAAUACAACAAGAAUCAGGCACAAAUCCUUUACUACUACAUUCUUUUGUACAAAUCCAUUUUGCCUAGAAAAUCGUACCUUACUAUACAUCCCUAUUGUGUUUCUCCACCAUCUAUUUUACUUUUUAAACUUUAUUUCAUUUUUGUCAUCACAGAAGCUUGUUGCUACAAAAUAAAUGAGCAAAUCAGCCAAUGGCAACAAAGCUGCACUGAUCUCUCUCCUUAGACCUUCAGAACAUUUUCCUUAAAGGUGAACAAUACUCCACGUUCAAGGACUUUUUCAGCACUAUGUGCUAGAAACUAUGCUGACUGUUUAUUAAUUUUUAUGUAAGUUGGUCGAUAUAGUUUCUCAGCUUCCCCAAGUAUUAUUACCACAGUACUAUAGAUGACACUGAAGCUCAGAGCAGUUAAACCAUUUUCCUCAGAUCACAUAACUUUAAAGAGGGAAACCAGAUAUGGGAAGCAGAUUUCUUUCUAAAUGAAAAAAUCAUGAGCUCUUGCUUUCACUUAGCACAUAGUCUCAUCAUCUGUUUUCUUCACACCAGCUCACUCAUGUAACAUUCAUUCAUUUACCAAAUACAGAUAAAUGAGUGGAUUUAUUCUUGCUUUCAUCAGAUACUAAUUCAAAAUCGCUUCUGUGUCUGCUACACUGUGCUCAAGACUUGCCAGUGCCUUUGUCUCCUCUCCCUCAAAUCUCUCCACCCAAUGUCUUGACAAAUACUGUAGAUUCUUCCUGCAUAACCUCUCCAGAAUCUUUUCCUUCUGUUAUCCAUGCUACAGUGUUUAUGGAGGAUGUUUUCUUCACCUAUGAAGUGUGAUGGGGGCUGAAGCUGCAGCAAGACUCAUGCUGUUCACCUCAGGAGCUGACACAGUAAAUGUGGAUAAACCUCAAUCCUUUAAUAUCUUUAUGACUUCUUUCCCAGUUACCCCAGCGAAUUUACAGAUUGAGGUUAAAACCACAACAGGAUUAUCUUCCUGGAAAGAAUAGGCUUCCCUUUAAGGUUUCACAUAGAUACUGGGUGAGGAAGGAGCCCUAAAUUGCUUGAAAAAUUGAAUGCUCUUUGGGCAAAGCAGGAAGCCUUGCUAUGGAAGAGCAUCAUUUGAACAUAAAUCAGAGUCUCAGUACAAACAGAGUGCUCAGGACAUCAAGAUGGUUAACCAGAGAGCCUGGCCAGAAUAUCUGCGGUGGAGAGAAACGAUCUUGUUGGGAGAAGGAUGACAAUAAUUGGGGACUUAGAAUAAAGGCUAAAAAUGAUUCAAAGAGAAUGCAAAAAGAAUCAGGCACACAUCCUUUACUCUGUUGUGCAAAUCUCACCUUACUGUGUGUUUGUAUUCUAUUCCUCCACAAUCUUUAUUUUAUUUUAUUUUUAUGUUCACAGAGAUUUGUUGGUGCCAACUAAAUGAGCCCAACAGCCAGUGACAACAGAACUGCACUAAAAAAAGUCCCUCAUCAGCUCUUGAGAGCAGGUUCCUUAAAGGUGAACAAUAUUCCACAUACAAGGACUUUUUCAGCACCAUGCAUUAGAAAUGGAAGUGAAUGUUUAUUAUUUUUUGUAUAAGUUGGUUGAUACGGCUUUUCAGCUUCCCUCAGUAUCAUUAUCCAAAUUUUGUAGAUGACACUAAAGCUCAGAGGAGUUAAACCAUUUUCCUCAAAUCACAUAGUUUUAAAUAGGAAAACCAGAUAUGAAAAGCAGAUUUUUUUCUAAAUUAAAAAAAAAAAAAAAACUUGAGCUCUUGCUUUACCCUAGCACAUAGUCUCACCAUCUGUUUUCUCCAUGCCAGGUCAUUCAUGUAACAUUCAUUCACAUAACAAAUACAAAUAAAUGAGUGGAUUCAUUCAUCAGCUAUUAAUUCAGAAUCUCUUUUGUGUCUACCACACUAGGCUCAAGACUUCCCAGUGUCUUUGUCUCCUCUCCCUCAAAUCUCUCCACCCAAUGUCUUGACAAAUACUGUAGAUCCUUCCUGCACAGCAUCACCAGAAUGUUUUUCUUUCUUUUCAUUCACCUCUGUCAUCAUCCAUGCUAUGGUGUUUAUGGAGGAUGUAUUCUGCAGCAGGAAGUGUGAUGGGCACUGACGCUGCAGAAAGACUCCUGUUGUCCACCUCGGGAGCUGACACGAUAAAUGCGGGUAAAUCUCAAUCCUUUAAUAUCUUUAUGACUUCUUUCUCUUUCUCUUCAAUUUCUAUUUUCUCAUGUUCAAGCUCUGACAUUCAAAACUAAACACCUUUCUCUAACAUGUUGCUUUAAUUAUUUAAGCAUUCUGCCUGGGAUUUUUUCAAUUACUCUUGGGAGUUUUCAUAAAACUCUACCAACAUAUCUCCAAGUGGCCAGGCUUUUCAAUCACUGCUUCCCUCCGUGUGUAUUUCACACACACACACACACACACACACACACACAGCACUUAAAUUGAACAGGUUUAUUUCUUCACACAGGAAUUCCUACGAACAGCCCGGUUUUCUCCACCAUAUGUCCACUCCUUCUCUGCAUAGCUGAAUUUUGAUUCUUACACUCUAAUAUUUUACAUAUUCUUACACUCUGAUAUGAUCUUGUCUCUUAUUCUUUAUGGCUCUGCUCUGUAAUUUUGUUGUUGUUGUUCUGAGAUAUAGUUGGACAUGUAACUUGUACAUGACACACCUUAGCAAGGAGGCAACCUAUAUCUCAGAUGCAAGUGAAAGAAGCACUCCCCAGGGGUUUCCUAAGGUAGUGGUCAGCACGCUGGCUUCAUUCCUGAAAGGGCCUAGUUAUGAAAACAACAGGAGCUUUUUGCCUUCCAGAAAUCUGUACCAUCUCAAAAUCCCCAGAGAGUCUCAGCUACAAGGAACAAGUGAUAAUACUAUCUCACUUUUAUAAACACACACACACAACACACACACACAAAAUCAUUUAAUCAUUUUUAAUUAUUUAAUCAUUUUUUAAAAAUCAGUGACACUUUAGAUGGGCAGGUCUAGGCAGGGCCUCCUUUCCUGGAAUGUGCCUUUUUCUGUCCCGGAAUACCCUAAACUUGACAUUUUGGCAGUGUGAGUUUUCCCUUUUUGACUUUCUCCUUGUUCCCUUUCCUCUUCCUUCUUUGCAGAGAAUGAGUAGCCACUGCACCUUGCCCUGGGCCAUCAGUGAGAAGAUCUGCUCUUAGUAGAGCCCUGCUUUCCCGCUGAAGGCCCUGAAAUCCCCUGUGUUCCAGGCCACCCACUAAGGAUCAAUAAAGCUCCCCUGAUGUGGGGGAAUUAGCUCAAGUGGUAGAGCGCUUGCUUAGCAUGCAAGAGGUAGUGGGAUCGAUGCCCACAUUCUCCAAACUUUAUUAUUUAGACCCUGGGUCUCCAAACACUCAGGUCUCCAAACCCAAGUCAGAGAACAGGAUGCUGCUUUGGUUCAAGAUGUAGGAGCAGCAACAAUACAGGGCUGGUGACGGCUCCCUCCUGGCAUUCAGUAUAGUGUAGAUCUACCGUGUAAUUAAUUUUCUGCUUCUUUGAGGAGCUGUGAAACCAAGGGACAUAAACAAUUGCUCUUUUCUCCCUGUUUCUGCCUGUAGCUUGAAUGUGAGGCAACUGUGAAAAGUGCAGGGCAGAGCCACCUGGGUAAAUACAGCCCUGGCUUUCUGGUGAGAGGACUGAAACCAGGAUGUGUCAAGUAACUAGAAUGUGCCUGGACAGAUACUGUAGAAAGCAAACCCAUAAAGUUGUUCAUGAGCUUGUGGACGCACCUGCCAGCUGUGAAUAAGUGGGUCUAAUCCCAAACAACUUACCUAAAAAGAGCCUGAGGACUGAACUAAACAAUGGUCCACUUUCCAGUCCUCACUGACCACUGGUUGCACACACUCCAGAGAUCUCUCAUCCGCAGUGUCAAGGCUUUCAAAUAGAGUUAUCUGUGAAACAACAACACAUGGAAGUCUGGUUGGUACUUGGAGCUUAAAUACAAGGCAAUUGUGUGCCUGCAAAAACAAAAAGAGCAAUAUUAUCCUUAAGAUUUCAACAAGACACAGUGUCUCAUCACAUAAUCCAAAGAAGUCCAGGUUACAAGCCCCAAAAUAUUCAGCAUUAUGAAAAACCAGGGAGAUCUUAAUUCACAUGGCAAAGAGAAUCCUUGCAUAACAAUAUUGAGAGGACACAUAUGUCAAAAUCAUCUGACACAUACAUUAAAGCAGUUAUUAUAACAAUGCUCCUAGAAUUACGGGAUAGCAUUCAUGAAGUGAAUGGAAAGUUGGAAAGUCUCACCAAAUAUUUGGAAUAUGUAAACACCAAUUUAAACUUAAGAAUUAAAAAAAGUAUUAACCAAAACUAUUAGGGGAAAUAAAAAGCUUAAUUGGAUGAUCUCAAUAGCAGUAUGCAGAAGACUAAGGAAAAAGUCAAUGAACUUGAAAACGGAACAAGAAUACCUACAGAAUCUGACCUAUAGAAAGAAAGGAGGAUUUUAUUGUCCCUGAACAGAGGCUCAGGGACAAAUAAAAAAUAACAAAUCUAACAUUCACAUUAUUGUAAUCUGGAAACAUUCACAUUAUUGUAAGAGGACAAAGAGGUCUUUGUGGGAUAAAACUGUGAAGAAUUAAUGGCUGAAAAUGUAUCAAAUUUCUCAAAAGAUAUAAACCAGAUUUUUAAAGUUCAGUAAAUGUCAAGCAGGAUAAACCAAAAGAAACCCAUUGCAAGACAUAUCAUAAUCAAACUGCGGAAAAUUAAGAAAACACAAAACAAUUUUGAAAGCAGCCAAAGGGAAAUGAAAGAUAAAAUACCAAAUGAAUGAUUGUAGAUUUCUCAUCGGGAACCCAGGAGCCAGAAAAAAAUGUCAUAACAUUCAGUAAAUACCAAAGGAAAAAUACAUUAUCAACCCAGAAUGGUAUGUGGAGCAAAAGUAUCUUCCAGACAUAAAGGCAAAUAAAUGCAUUCUCAUUGGAAGGUAAAUAAAUACAUUCUCAGUCCUAGCAAAACUGCUGGAAAAGAAUUAGCAAAGGUUUGAGAUAAGAAAAGUGAUACCAGAAGGAAACUUAGAACAUCAUCAAUGAAGGAACAAAAGCAGAAAUAGAAAAUGUCUGGGUAGACAUAACAGACUAUUAUUCUUCUCUUGAGUUCCUUAAGGUAUGUUUGAUGGUUGAAAGCAAAAAUUGUAACUUUAUCUGAUGCAGUUGUCAUUGUAUCUAGAUGUACUACAUACAUAAGAUAAAAGGGUAAAUGUAAUGGGACUAACUCUUGAUGAAGUUUCUAUAUUCAACUUGAAUGGUAAAAUAUUGAUUCUUAGUAUACUGUGAAAAGUUAUAUAUGUAUAUGGUAAUCCCUAGACCACUUAACAACCAGAUUGAAAUAAACCAAAACAAGAUAGACAGAGGAACAUAGAAGAAUUAAAACAAAGGGAAAAAAGGUUAAUAAAUUAUUAAAUAGUAGAUCUAUCUAAAAACUUAUCUAUAAUAACAUUAUAUGUAAAUUAUCUAAAUGCAUUAAGUAAAAACUAGAGAUCAUCAGAAUGUGUUAAAAAUAAAUAUGCUGACUAAAGAAAGCCACCUGCAAUACACUUAUAAAUAAGAAUAAAAGUUAUAGAGCAGAUUGAAAGAAAAGAGUGGGAAAAGAUACCUCAUGCAAGCAUUAAUCAAAGACAGCUGUGGUGUAUAUAUAUAAAAUCAGACAAAGUAGAUUUGAAAGCAGAGAAACUUUUCAGGAAUAAUGAGGCCUCCUAAAUAAUUAUGAUUGUCAAUUUUUCAGGAGAAUAUUGUCCCAAAUGUAUAUGAGGACACAGAGCUUCAAAACUCAUAAACAAAAUUGGAUACGCCAAGUAAAAAUAGAAAAAUCCAGUUAUAGUUGCAGUCAUUAACACUCCUCUCUGAGUAAUUGGAAGAUUUAGUGGAACACAAAUCAACAGACAUACUGGAGAAUUGAACCAUGCCAUCCAGUAAUGGACCUAUCAAUUUCAUAAUGCAAAAUAAAAAUUCAGGUAGAAAGCAAAGACAAAAAUUAAAAGAAAAGCAAGAUCAUGUUAUAAUGAGAAAAUUAAGAGUAGUCCAGUGUAUAGAAGGGUGCUAUUAUUGAAAGAGUUUGAAAUAGUGACUUAGUUAUUUUGAAACAUUUUUGAAGACGUUAUUUAGCUGGAAAUGACAGAAAGACUGAAAAUGGUGAAUGUGGAGGUGGAUCUUCCCUUGUCCAUAUUUAUCUUGUCUUCGUUUGAGGUCUGGGGUGUCUAUACUUCCUCUGAAUUACCUGAUCUUACUACAGUGUCUGGCACAGAGCAUCUCCCCAGUGAAUAUGUACUAAAUGAGUAGAAAGUAAUUGAUAGAUUCAAAAGAGUUGUGCAAGAAUAAUGUUCAUUAUUUGACUAAUCACUGAAUGUGGUGUUUCAAGGAAGACAAUGAAUCAAAGUUGACUUGAAAGGUAAGCCCAGGGCCAGACGUGGUGGCUCAUUUCUGUAAUCCCAGCACUUUGGGAGGCCGAGAUCAGUGGAUCCCUUGACACCAGGAGUUUGAGACCAGCCUAGGCAACACAGUGAAAACCUGUCUCUACAACAAAUACAAAAAUUAGCCGGGUGUGGUGGUAUGCAUCUGUAGUUCCAGCUACUCAGGAGGCUGAGGUGGGAGGAUCGCUUGAACUCAGGAGGUGGAGGUUGCAGUGAACAGAGAACGCACCGGUACCUGGACAACAAAGUGAGACCCUGUCAUAAAAUAAAAUAGUUAAACCCAGGCCAGGAGGGGUGGCUCAUGCCUGUAAUCCCAGCACUUUGGAAGGCCAAGGUAGGCUGAUCACGUGACGUCAGGAGGUUGAGACCAGCCUGGCCAACAUGGUGAAACCCCGUCUCUACUAAAAAUACAAAAAUUAACCAAGCGUGGUGGCAGGCACCUGUAGUCCCAGCUACUCUGGAGGCUGAGACAGGAGAAUUACUAGAACCCGGGAGGCAGAGGUUGCAGUGAGCCAAGAUCUUACCAUUGCACUGCAGCCUGGGCGACAGAGUGACACUCUGUCGAAAAAAAAAAAAAAAAAAAAGUUAAGCCCAAAAAGUAAGUAAGGAAGAGGUUUGGAAUUAGAUAUUUGUUGUAUGAAUGAGUGAGCUAAAGUGCAAAAGAACGGGCAGAAUAACUGAGCUGGUACAGAGGGAAAAAAUCACAUUUAAAAUCUAAAAAUAUCUGCUUCUUAGUUCAGGCUUUCCCACUUAGCAGCUUUGGCACCUUAGGAACACUUAACUUAUCUGAGCCUCUAUUACUUCUAAAAAGUGCAUAAAGUGCAGACUAAGACAGUUUUUUUGGCAAAAUUCAGUCAGACUACAUCAAGUAAACUCCCUAAGUCUCCUAGUAUAAUUCAUGGCACAAAAAAUUGGGGAAAAAACAGGGAGGAUAUGAUUAUAAGUUCAGUUUAUGUUUUUUGUUGAGUGAAUGUCUCCAGUCAUAGAGAUGCAAGUGUAGAUACACAGUAAGAGUAGUAUGAAUGGGAGACACCUUGGAAGGCUAUUUCUUCCUUCCUUCAUUCAGUUGGUCACUCAGUGAACUAUCAUGAAUUGAGCACCGCCUCUGUUUCUUAUCAACAAAGGAGACUGCGGAAAAGAAGAGUGACUAAGAUCUCUGAAGAAGGGAAAAGCUAGAUGACUGGGCCACAAGAGGAAAAAAAGCAGCAAGACAGUUACAAUUGUUUCUGGUCCCACUUUUAUAAACACACACACACACACACACACACACACACACACACACAAAAUCAUUUAAUCAUUUUUAAGUAUUUAAUCAUUUUUUAAAAAUCUGUGAUGCUUUACCUGGGCAUGUCUAGGCAGGUCCUCCUUUGCUAGGACGUGCCCUUUUCUGUCCCGGAAUACUCUAAACUUGGCAUUUUGGCAGCGUGAAGUUUUCCCGUUGUGACUUUCUCCUUGUUCCCUUUUCUCCUCCUUCUUUGCAGACAAUGAGUAGCCACUGCUGUUUGCCCUGGCCCAUCAAUGAGAAGAUCUGCUCUUAGAGCCCUGCUUUCCUGCUGAAGGCCCUGAAAUCACCUGUGUUCCAGGCCACCUGCUAACAAUAAAUAAUGCUGCCCUGAUGUGGGGAAUUAGCUCAAGUGGUAGAGCGCUUGCUUAGCACGCAAGAGGUAGUGGGAUCGAUGCCCACAUUCUCCAAGCUUUAUUAUUUAGACAUCGUGUCUCCAAACACUCAGGUCUCCAAACCCAAGUUAGUGUCUGAGAACAGGAUGCUGCUUUGGUUCAAGACGUAGGAGCAGCAAUAAUAGAGGGCUGGUGAUGGCUCCCUCUUGGCAUUCAGUAUAGUGUAGAUCUACCAUGUAAUUAAUUCUCUGUUUCUUUGAGGAGCUGUGAAACCAAGGGACAUAUACAACUGCUCUUUUCUCCCUGUUUCUACCUGCAGCUUUGUCCUAAAUGUGAGACAAUUAUGAAAAGUGCAGCGCAGAGCCACUUGGGUAAAUACAGCCCCGGCUUUCUGCUCAGGGGACAGAGUUUGAGGCACUGCAGAGGAACCGGCCAAAGUAUGAGACCCAUAUAUUGAGAGUAACAGAGUGUAAAGUUCAAAAAAAUCAAAAUAUUUAAAGAUUUAUCAUGGGUCUUGAUGACAUGAUGGAAUCUCUCUACUCUCUGGACUUAUUAUGUGUGGUAAUAAAUUUACUUUUUAAAAGCCA